rnacentral:rRNA from 1 species
UACGUAGGGCGCAAGCGUUGUCCGGAAUUAUUGGGCGUAAAGAGCUCGUAGGCGGCCAGUUGCGUCCGCUGUGAAAUCCCGGGGCUUAACCCCGGGCGUGCAGUGGAUACGGGCUGGCUAGAGGCAGGCAGGGGAGAACGGAAUUCCCGGUGUAGCGGUGAAAUGCGCAGAUAUCAGGAGGAACACCGGUGGCGAAGGCGGGUCUCUGGGCCGUAACUGACGCUGGAGGAGCGAAAGCGUGGGGAGCGAACAGG